UAGAAAGUGGUGUAGUGGAAGCACCUGGAGUUUUGAUCUCCAGCGGGUGGGUUCGAGUCCCUCCUUUCUAA
rnacentral:tRNA from 1 species